UACUCCCUCCGUCACGUAAUAGGUGUCGCAUUGACAUUUUUACGAAAACCACCUCUUCUUUUUUCCGACCAAACUCCGCGUCCCUCCACCCCGCACCUCAUCCUCUUCCUGGCGACGCACCGCCCCGACGACCUCCUCCCUCCCGUCGACGCGCCCACCACCCUCGACGCCUCUCACCCUUUGCGUGCGACGUCGCCGUCCUCUCCUUCUCUCUCGUCGCAGGCAGUCUCUCCCAAUUACGCCGCCGAGCCCACAUCCUCUCGUGCCCAAAGAGGUGGUGGUAAAAAUUGAGAUUUUUCUCUCGAUCUCUCACGGUGGCGGUGGCGGAGGCACGGCGGAGCUCAAGUGGCGGCGGUGGCUGGAGGAGAUCCAUUCGCGGUGGAGAUGGAGCUCCAAUCGGGUGCUGGUGCUGCAUCGCCCGAGCUUGAGCUCAAAAUGGGGAUUUUUCAUCCGCCCGAGCUUGAGCUCAAAGUGGUGGCGGCGGCGGAGGUCCAGUUGCGUGGUGCUGCUGCAGAAGCUGGAGGCGGACAAGAGGGAGGGGGUCUACGUUGUGGACGGGGAAGGCAACCUGGACGGCAUCACGACGCUCGGGGAUCCAGGCUCGCCAAGCUCGUCUACUAGCUGCCGCUGUACUUCAAUGGCGUCAUCCCCAUGCCGUAUGUUCUGCUUGCUGCAAAGCUUCAGUACUCCUACUCCAGGAUAAAGAGGUGGAUGGAUGGAUGGAGAGGAAGGAAUGAAGAAGAUGAUGGUCUGCUAGCUGGUUUGUUCUUGAGCUCAGCAAGAUUUUCUCUUUGAGUCAUUUCUCUGACAUGUAACUGAUAGGUGAGAAAUGAGCUCCAAUUCUGUGUACUCACUGUAACAAGAUUCAGCUCACACCUUUUUUUAAAGUCCCAUUUCUGUGGCUUGCACUAUUGUCUGCUCCCUGGGUGUACCAAAAUACUGGGUGUUUUUUGCUUGUAGCUAGCAGCAGGAUGGUUGAUCUCCUAAAAAUAGAACCAAAAUACUCCUUGUAAGAUUACUGAUGUUGAGGUUAUAGCUCUGGAACUCAACCUUGAAAUAUGAUGCAGACUAGGACUACUGUAUGUGUUGAUUUUAA